CCACUUCGACUUCCUGGAUCCGCCGCCCCAUGAGACGCUGGUGCUGGCGCUGGAGCAGCUCUAUGCGCUGGGGGCCCUCAACCACCUCGGGGAGCUCACCACGCUGGGCCGGCGCAUGGCGGAGCUGCCGGUGGAGCCCAUGUUGGCCAAGAUGAUCCUGGCGUCCGAGCAGUACGGCUGUACGGACGAGGUGCUGUCGGUG
rnacentral:lncRNA from 1 species